UACCAGCACCCCGAGUGGUCGGGACGAUUAUUGGGCCUAAAGCAUCCGUAGCCGGUCCUACAAGUCUUCCGUUAAAUCCACCUGCUUAACAGAUGGGCUGCGGAAGAUACUAUAGGGCUAGGAGGCGGGAGAGGCAAGCGGUACUCAGUGGGUAGGGGUAAAAUCCUCUGAUCCAUUGAAGACCACCGGUGGCGAAGGCGGCAUCCUGGACCGGCAUUGACGCUGAGGAGCGAAAGCCAGGGGAGCAAACGGG
rnacentral:rRNA from 1 species